AUGUCCAAUACCCAGCUUUCUGAGCUGAGGAAGGGCAGGGGGGCUGCCCAGCUCCAGGAACACAGAGGGGAGCAGCCCAGGGGCUCAGGGAUGGUGACAGUGCACGGCAGAUGGGGUGCCCAGGGUCAGGAGGCAGCUCCAAGUCUUUUCCAGGGCUGCAGCCCACAGGGAACUGAAGCAGAGCUGCAGGGCUGUCCCAGGGGUGUCUCAGCAGCUCCCUGUACCCCUCAGCCCUCACUGGGAGCAGAUUUCACCCUGCAGGGAAUUAAAGGAGAGCUGCAGGGGUGUCUCAGCAGCUCCCUGCAGCCCCAGCCCUCACUGGGAGCACGUUUCACCCUGCAGGGAAUUAAAGAAGAGCUGCAGGGGUGUCUCAGCAGCUCCCUGCAGCCCCAGCCCUCACUGGGAGCACGUUUCACCCCUCACACCCCACCUGCAGCUGCAGCUGCACAGGGGCAGCCUGGCAGAAUGCAGCAGGGGCUGGGCUGCAGAGCUCUCUGGAUUAUUUGCAUUAUUUUUAGUGAUUCCCUCAGCUUUGCUUGUUUGCUGCUGUCAAGGCAACGCAGCAGCCACGAGGGCGAGCCCGUUGCUGUGAGAACUGAGGGGGCUCUGCCUCUCACAGGGAUUCAGCUGCUGGCUCUGCAGCCUUUGCAGCGAGACAGCAGCAGAGACGACAGCAGCUGCCCCAGCCCUGCUGACCAGCGGGGCACAGAGCUGCUCUGGGGGCUGCCCAGCAAACACCCCCUCUGCAGGGCACAGAGCCACCCUGAAGCACAGGAAUCAACAAUCCCUGCCAUCCCUGCAGCUCCCAGAGCUGUGACAGCUGUGGGUGCACAUCACCACCCCUUGGGAGGGGGCACUGACAGAGCAGCUCAGGCUGCAGGAGCAGGGCUGGGGCCGGCAGAGCCCCCCACCCCAAUUCCUGCCCCCAUGUCCCCAGCAGCCCUGGAGCACUGCCUGGGCUGUGCCACCUCCUCCCCCUCGUGCAGAACACCCCCAGUGACAAAAUAA
rnacentral:lncRNA from 1 species